rnacentral:rRNA from 1 species
GGGAGCCUGAGAAACGGCUACCACAUCCAAGGAUGGCAGCAGGCGCGCAAAUUACCCAAUCCCGACACGGGGAGGUAGUGACAAUAAAUAACAAUACGGGGUUCUUUAGGAUCUCGUAAUUGGAAUGAGUACAAUUUAAAUCUCUUAACGAGGAACAAUUGGAGGGCAAGUCUGGUGCCAGCAGCCGCGGUAAUUCCAGCUCCAAUAGCGUAUAUUAAAGUUGUUGCAGUUGAAAAGCUCGUAGUUGAAUUUCGGGGUUAGUAGGUUGGUCAUGCCUCUGGUAUGUACUGAUCUCACUGAUUCCUCCUUCCUUAUGAACCGUAAUGCCAUUAAUUUGGUGUUGCGGGGAAUUUGGACUGUUACUUUGAAAAAAUUAGAGUGUUUAAAGCAGGCUAACGCUUGAAUACAUUAGCAUGGAAUAAUGAAAUAGGACGUUCGAUCUUAUUUUGUUGGUUUCUAGGAUUGACGUAAUGAUUAAUAGGGAUAGUUGGGGGCAUUAGUAUUCAAUUGUCAGAGGUGAAAUUCUUGGAUUUAUUGAAGACUAACUACUGCGAAAGCAUUUGCCAAGGAUGUUUUCAUUAAUCAAGAACGAAAGUUAGGGGAUCGAAGACGAUCAGAUACCGUCGUAGUCUUAACCAUAAACUAUGCCGACUAGGAAUCGGACGAUGUUAAUUUUAUAAUGACUCAUUCGGCGCCUUACGG